rnacentral:rRNA from 1 species
GGGGGACCAUCCUCCAAGGCUAAAUACUCCUGACUGACCGAUAGUGAACCAGUACCGUGAGGGAAAGGCGAAAAGAACCCCGGCGAGGGGAGUGAAACAGAACCUGAAACCGUGUACGUACAAGCAGUGGGAGCCUUCGUAAGAGGGUGACUGCGUACCUUUUGUAUAAUGGGUCAGCGACUUAUAUUCUGUAGCAAGGUUAACCGUAUAGGGGAGCCGAAGGGAAACCGAGUCUUAACCGGGCGUUAAGUUGCAGGGUAUAGACCCGAAACCCGGUGAUCUAGCCAUGGGCAGGUUGAAGGUUGGGUAACACUAACUGGAGGACCGAACCGACUAAUGUUGAAAAAUUAGCGGAUGACCUGUGGCUGGGGGUGAAAGGCCAAUCAAACCGGGAGAUAGCUGGUUCUCCCCGAAAGCUAUUUAGGUAGCGCCUCGUGAACUCAUCUCCGGGGGUAGAGCACUGUUUCGGCUAGGGGGCCAUCCCGGCUUACCAACCCGAUGCAAACUGCGAAUACCGGAGAAUGUUAUCACGGGAGACACACGGCGGGUGCUAACGUCCGUCGUGAAGAGGGAAACAACCCAGACCGCCAGCUAAGGUCCCAAAGUCAUGGUUAAGUGGGAAACGAUGUGGGAAGGCCCAGACAGCCAGGAUGUUGGCUUAGAAGCAGCCAUCAUUUAAAGAAAGCGUAAUAGCUCACUGGUCGAGUCGGCCUGCGCGGAAGAUGUAACGGGGCUAAACCAUGCACCGAAGCUGCGGCAGCGACACUAUGUGUUGUUGGGUAGGGGAGCGUUCUGUAAGCCUGCGAAGGUGUGCUGUGAGGCAUGCUGGAGGUAUCAGAAGUGCGAAUGCUGACAUAAGUAACGAUAAAGCGGGUGAAAAGCCCGCUCGCCGGAAGACCAAGGGUUCCUGUCCAACGUUAAUCGGGGCAGGGUGAGUCGACCCCUAAGGCGAGGCCGAAAGGCGUAGUCGAUGGGAAACAGGUUAAUAUUCCUGUACUUGGUGUUACUGCGAAGGGGGGACGGAGAAGGCUAUGUCGGCCGGGCGACGGUUGUCCCGGUUUAAGCGUGUAGGCUGACUUUCCAGGCAAAUCCGGAAGGUUAAGGCUGAGGCGUGAUGACGAGGCACUACGGUGCUGAAGUGACAAAUGCCCUGCUUCCAGGAAAAGCCUCUAAGCAUCAGGUAACAUUAAAUCGUACCCCAAACCGACACAGGUGGUCAGGUAGAGAAUACCAAGGCGCUUGAGAGAACUCGGGUGAAGGAACUAGGCAAAAUGGUGCCGUAACUUCGGGAGAAGGCACGCUGACAUGUAGGUGAAGCCCCUGCGGGUGGAGCUGAAGUCAGUCGAAGAUACCAGCUGGCUGCAACUGUUUAUUAAAAACACAGCACUGUGCAAACACGAAAGUGGACGUAUACGGUGUGACGCCUGCCCGGUGCCGGAAGGUUAAUUGAUGGGGUUAUCGCAAGAGAAGCUCCUGAUCGAAGCCCCGGUAAACGGCGGCCGUAACUAUAACGGUCCUAAGGUAGCGAAAUUCCUUGUCGGGUAAGUUCCGACCUGCACGAAUGGCGUAAUGAUGGCCAGGCUGUCUCCACCCGAGACUCAGUGAAAUUGAACUCGCUGUGAAGAUGCAGUGUACCCGCGGCAAGACGGAAAGACCCCGUGAACCUUUACUACAGCUUGACACUGAACAUUGAGCCUUGAUGUGUAGGAUAGGUGGGAGGCUUUGAAGCGUGGACGCCAGUCUGCGUGGAGCCAACCUUGAAAUACCACCCUUUAAUGUUUGAUGUUCUAACCUGGCGCCCUGAUCGGGCGUGGGGACAGUGUCUGGUGGGUAGUUUGACUGGGGCGGUCUCCUCCCAAAGUGUAACGGAGGAGCACGAAGGUCAGCUAAUCCUGGUCGGACAUCA